AGAGUUUGAUUAUGGCUCAGAACGAACGCUGGCGGCAGGCCUAACACAUGCAAGUCGAACGCUCCGCAAGGGGAGUGGCAGACGGGUGAGUAACACGUGGGAAUCUUCCUAUUGGUAUGGAAUAGCUCAGGGAAACUUGGGGUAAUACCGUAUAAGCCCGAGAGGGGAAAGAUUUAUCGCCAAUAGAUGAGCCCGCGUCUGAUUAGCUAGUUGGUGAGGUAAUGGCUCACCAAGGCGACGAUCAGUAGCUGGUCUGAGAGGAUGAUCAGCCACACUGGGACUGAGACACGGCCCAGACUCCUACGGGAGGCAGCAGUGGGGAAUAUUGGACAAUGGGCGCAAGCCUGAUCCAGCCAUGCCGCGUGAGUGACGAAGGUCUUCGGAUUGUAAAGCUCUUUUGGCGGGGACGAUAAUGACGGUACCCGCAGAAUAAGCCCCGGCUAACUUCGUGCCAGCAGCCGCGGUAAUUAGUAAUUAAU
rnacentral:rRNA from 1 species